GACGGAGUGUGGGCGGAUGCUGUG
rnacentral:siRNA from 1 species